GUGCGGGCGUAUCUGUCAAAUGUACGGUUAAAGGGUUAUUACGCAUUUUUUGCCGAUCCGCACACAUUGGAAUUUCGCUAACUCCUCCGAAGGCUUUCUCACCACCGGCACCACAUUUGCUCAGGCCAAUCUACACCCCAUGGCCAUUAAAAGUUAUUCAAAUCAUGACGCUGCACCCCACGGUUUAGGUUCUAGGGGGCGCCAAAGGUAACCCUAAAAUCCACAUAUUUAAAAGUCUUAUAACUUUUUAUUUUUGCCCUCACUGGCCUCCAAGUUUUCUAGGAUGAUGCAAUAUCCAGCCAUCAACACAUUUGUGAAGGAAUUUUUACUCCCCAAAAGAGCGCCCCCAUGGCCGGAGAAAAAAGUCCAUUUUUUCUUGUCCCCUAAGGUGAAAAUACACAUUGUUGAGUGUCACGCCUGUACGCUUUGUCAUAUUGACACAAAAUUUGACACACACAUGUAUCUCAAUAAGAUCUACGAAAAAGUCAAUGCGCGCGUAUCUGUCAAAUGUACGGUUAAAGGGUUAUUCCGCAUUUUUGGCCGAUCCGCACACAUUGGAAUUUCGCUAACUCCUCCUAAGGCUGGCGUUCCACCGGCACCACAUUUGCUCAGGCCAAUCUACACCCCAUGGCCAUUAAAAGUUAUUCAAAUCAUGACGCUGCACCCCACGGUUUAGGUUCUAGGGGGCGCCAAAGAUAACCCUAAAAUCCACAUAUUUCAAAGUCUUAUAACUUUUUAUUUUUGUCCUCACUGGCCUCCAAGUUUUCUAGGAUGAUGCAAUGUCCAGCCAUCAACACAUUUGUGAAGGAAUUUUUACUCCCCAAAAGAGCGCCCCCCAUGGCAGGAGAAAAAAGUCAAUUUUUUCUUGUCCCGUAAGGUGAAAAUUCACAUUGUUGAGUGUGACACCUGUACGCUUUGUCAUAUUGACACAAAAUUUGACAAUCACGUGUAUCUCAAUAAGAUCUACGAAAAAGUCAAUGGGUGCGUAUCUGUCAAAUGUACGGUUAGAGGGCUAUUUUGCAUUUUUUGUCGAUUCGCACACAUUGGAAUGUGGCUAACUCCUCCUAAGGCUUUCGUCCCACUGAAACCAAAUUUGCUCAGGCCAAUCUACACCCCAUGGCCAUUCAAAGUUGUAAAAAUCAUGACGCUGCACCCCACGGUUUACGUUCUAGGGGGCGCCAAAGAUAACCAAAAAAUCCACAUUCUUAAAAGAAUCCACAUUCUCCCCCCCAUGGCAGGAGAAAAAGUCAAGUUUUUCCUGCCCAUCGCUCAAUGGCUCAAUCGCAUCGCUCUCCAGGCAACACCGUAACGAGGAGCAACCUGCCAUUUGGAUAUAUCCCAGCUGUGUUUGUGCCCUCACUCAUGGUCCAGACUUUUUUCAAAUAGGACAUGAAGUUUGUCUGCAGCGAGUGUUUUGGUAGAAACUGCGCCUCCCAUUCAUUAUAAUGCGAAAUGACCACAGACAAGUGCGCACACCAUCUUUGGACCUUGAGUGUGACGCGAUCGGGAGGGGGAGGCGGUCACGCUGGGGGCGGCACGACGCAGCUCGGGCCCGCCAGUGCCCCAACGGGGCCCUAGUUAUUAUUUUUCCUCCCCUUUGAACUGGAAAAUGGCCCACUUCCCACUGGCGAAAACUCAUGAAAUUUGGCAGGACGACCGGGCCUGGUGAAAAAUUUGAUAUUCUGAAGUCGCCCAAACAAUACA